AAAAAUUAGCCGGGUGUAGUGGUGCACACCUGUAGUCCCAGCUACUCAGGGGGCUGAGGCAGGAUUGCUUGAGCCCAGGAGGCAGAGGUUGCAGUGAGUUGAGAUCAUGCCACUGCACUCCAGCCUGGGCAACAGAGUGAGAGAGGCAGGAGGAUCACUUGAGCCUGAGAGUUCAAGACCAGCCUGGAGAAUAUAGUGAGACCCCCCCAUCUCUCUCUCUCUUUCUCUUUUUUUUUUUUUUUUUAAAGAUAGAGGUGGGAGGAUUGCUUGAGCAUGGGAGUCAGAGGCUGCAGUGAGCUAUGACGACACCUCUGCACUUUGGCACGUACACACACUCACAUACACUUCCCAUGUCAAGGUUUGUCUGCAGAGGGAGCUUCACCCACCCAUCUUCCUAGCUUAUCUUUCCAGCUCUCCCUGUCCUGUCCUGGACCUCUGGGCCUUUCCCCAGGACCUUCUCCCCUACCUUUUGUGUUUGAGAGAGUCUCGCUCUGUCACCCAGGCUGGAGUACAGUGUCACAAUCUUGGCUCACUGCAACCUCUGCUUCCCGGGUUCAAGUGAUUCUCCCACCUCAGCCUCCCGAGUAGCUGGGACUGUAGGCGCCUGCCACUACACCUGGCUAAUUUCUUUUGUAUUGU
rnacentral:lncRNA from 1 species